UGCAUUUGAACAAUUCUGUGUGUUCCUAUUGGUGUUUACAAAAUUCUGGUACCAUUGCUCACCCUACGUACACACUGAGGCCAGGCUGCAGGCGGGGAAGCAGCGACAUAUAAAUGGCUGCAGGAGACAAACAGAGGAGUGGGAUCUUUGGAGUCAAGAUUUGAAGGAAUGCAUGCCUGAUGUCUUGUAGAGCUCUGCUGCCAUUUGGAGUAGAUAGUGCUUGGCUAGAUGGACACAAAUGACUUUGCACAGGCACCAGGGAGUGACAGCAGGAUGGACCAGAUGUGCUAUGCUCAAUGGCCUUCUUGAUGGCCACAAAUCUCUGCUAAUCCCAAUGAUGGUGUCAACUGAAUACGAGCUUGGCCAAUCUGUUGAAACUGUCAAACACCACCACACACUAAGAUUCACAUAUGUAGCAGUUGGUCCUAGCAGCUGGACCUGCAGACUUUCAGGACUGCAGCUUCUCCUUCUCCUCCCAUGAGAUGCCGUGUUUGGAACAGGCAAGUGUGCUAAGUUGGCAAAGAGGCACCUUUUAAGGUGGUGAUUCUUUUUAAUUAGCAGGGGGAGAGUAACUGGUCCUAUCCACCCCCGGCACAGUACCUCCAGUGACAGUUGCUGGUGUCUGUCUUAUGUUUCUUUUAGAUUGUAAGCCCUUUGGGGACAGGGAUCCAUCUUAUUUGUUAUUUCUCUGUGUAAACCACCCGGAGCCAUUUUUGGAAGGGCGGUAUAGAAAUUGAAUAAAUAAUAAUAAUAAAUUUGUCACUAGUGAUGAGUGAGCUCCCCAUGGCUCACAUCAGACUGGCUAAAGAUUCGACAAGUAACUUCCCAAAACAUUGAGAAACCACUCAGCUUAUUUCUGAACCAAAUCCAAAUUCAGUCCCCUAAUGCCACCCACCAAACCCCAAACAUUUGCAGCGAGAGAUUGUGGGCACUUGCAAGGUUCAACUGUCCCUGGCUGCAAACAACAGCUUUCAGGCUAAGGAGAAGACCCACAUAUGGAACACAGCUCCACCCCCUGCUGAAGACCCUAAGGGCCAAAGCAUACUCUGUGGUGGGUGGUUGUUGUUGUUGUUGUUGUUUGCCCCUGCACCAGAUGCUUUGGGGGCUGUAGUUCUUCCUGUGCCUAUUGAAACUAGUGGUCUCCAUGCAGAUUAGUGUUGAGCGAGCAUGAUGUUGUGGUAUAGGCAUUGUACAGCAGGUUGUGCAAUCUUGUAUACAUUCUGUGGUUCUGGUUGCACAACAUUUCAGAGCAUCACAACUUCACACAGCUUUGCAAACGUCUUAACUGUACACACAACCAGUGUUCUCUCUAAUUUUUUUUUCAUCUGUGUGCAGAAUUAGUUUUGUUCUGGGCAGCAGUAUCAAGGCAGUGUGCGCGCACGUGCAUUCAGAGUUCGGCCUUCCUGAUUCAACCUGAGUGGGAUCUAAAAUUAACUGAGCGGACAUCAGAAAAUGUGUGAGCACAAGGACAUGCACACGCCUUAGAGGGAACAGUGCACACAACUUCUCUCAUUGGCUAGAGCAACACUAGUAUAGGUGUCAGCCAAAGUCUCCACUGAACUGAAUAUGCUUAUUCAUUACCACAAAUUAAUUUGGCUUUCUUUGUGGAUCUUUUAUUAUAUGGAAUAUUCUGACAUUUUGUACAGGUUACUCUUCAUUGUGGUACUCACCUUAGAUUAUGGAUUUAAAUAAAUAAAUUCCAUAGAAUACUGAUCACUUUUAUGUGGGAGAGUAUCUUGGAAGUUCUUUUUAAUCAGUGCA